rnacentral:rRNA from 1 species
UACGAAUGGGGCAAGCGUUGUUCGGAAUCACUGGGCUUAAAGCGUGCGUAGGCGGAUUUGCAAGUCAGAAGUGAAAUCCCGGGGCUCAACCUCGGAAUUGCUUUUGAAACUGCAAAUCUAGAAUCCGGGAGGGGUCAGUAGAAUUCCUAGUGUAGAGGUGAAAUUCGCAGAUAUUAGGAGGAAUACCAGUGGCGUAGGCGACUGACUGGACCGGCAUUGACGCUGAGGCACGAAAGCGUGGGUAGCAAACAGG